CUGAUUUGUAAUGGAGAUGAAGAUGUGUCAUUGGCAGAAAAGUCAUCUCUAUCAUAAAUGCCUCAUCACCAUUGGAUGGAAAUCAGGAUCAGAUGGCAUCCUCCACACCCUUCAAUAUUUCACAGAUGAAAACCAGGGCAUGUGUGACCAAGUAAUAUAAAUGUGUCAUUGAGGUGGCAAAAGGAAAAAGAGAGAAGCUGGAAGAGGCCGCAACAGAUUGCUUUGGCCCGAGUGUACUGGAAAAGGCAAGAUCUUGUUGUCUCCAUUCUGGUGAGUCAAUUGAUUGCAAAUUACCUUUUUUUUCCUUUUUUUCCUUUUUUUUUUUUUUUUUACUUUUAAACAACUCUGUAGCAACUUAAGUCAGCUGAAGAGAAAUGGAGACAGCAGAUAAAGGAAAAACAAAUGGAUAC
rnacentral:lncRNA from 11 species